CAUGCAGUCGAGCGGACUUUAAAGCUUGCUUUUAAGUUAGCGGCGGACGGGUGAGUAACACGUGGGCAACCUGCCUGUAAGACUGGGAUAACUUCGGGAAACCGGAGCUAAUACCGGAUAAUCCUUUUCCUCUCAUGAGGAAAAGCUGAAAGACGGCAUCUCGCUGUCACUUACAGAUGGGCCCGCGGCGCAUUAGCUAGUUGGUGAGGUAACGGCUCACCAAGGCAACGAUGCGUAGCCGACCUGAGAGGGUGAUCGGCCACACUGGGACUGAGACACGGCCCAGACUCCUACGGGAGGCAGCAGUAGGGAAUCUUCCGCAAUGGACGAAAGUCUGACGGAGCAACGCCGCGUGAGUGAUGAAGGUUUUCGGAUCGUAAAGCUCUGUUGUUAGGGAAGAACAAGUACAAGAGUAACUGCUUGUACCUUGACGGUACCUAACCAGAAAGCCACGGCUAACUACGUGCCAGCAGCCGCGGUAAUACGUAGGUGGCAAGCGU
rnacentral:rRNA from 2 species